rnacentral:tRNA from 1 species
GAGGGCAUAGCUCAGUGUUAAAGUGCAUGCUUAGCAUGCAUAAGGCCCUGGGUUCAAUCCCAGUACCUCCA